GGGGAAUUUUCCGCAAUGGGCGAAAGCCUGACGGAGCAAUACCGCGUGAGGGAGGAAUGCCUUUGGGUUGUAAACCUCUUUUCUCAGGGAAGAAGAUCUGACGGUACCUGAGGAAUAAGUAUCGGCUAACUCCGUGCCAGCAGCCGCGGUAAUACGGAGGAUGCAAGCGUUAUCCGGAAUUAUUGGGCGUAAAGCGUCCGCAGGUGGUUUCCAAAGUCUGCUGUUAAAGACUAGAGCUCAACUCCGGAACGGCGGUGGAAACUUGGAAACUAGAGUUCGGUAGGGGUAGCAGGAAUUCCCAGUGUAGCGGUGAAAUGCGUAGAUAUUGGGAAGAACAUCGGUGGCGAAGGCGUGCUACUGGACCGUAACUGACACUCAGGGACGAAAGCUAGGGGAGCGAAAGGGAUUAGAUACCCCUGUAGUCCUAGCUGUAAACGAUGGAAACUAGGUGUGGCUUG
rnacentral:rRNA from 1 species